UGGAUGGGACCUUGGGCAGCCUGAACUGAGGUUGGGUGGGAUUUGAGGUCCCUUCCAACCCAACCCAUUCUGUGAUUCUAUGAUUCUAUGAUUCUAUGAUUCUAUAAUUCUGUGAUUCCUGUUAAGAUUUACAGAUAACUUGUUUGUGCAUAUCUAGAUAAAUGGAUGGAUGGAUGGAUGGAUGGAUAGAUAGAUAGAUAGAUAGACAGAUAGAUAGAUAGAUAGAUAGAUAGAUCGAUCUAUGGAUGGAAAAAUACUUGGAAUUUUAAGUGGCUGAGAAACUUUUACUUUCGCCAACCUGUCAGCACUGGCAUUGCCUACAGGUUUGUGGUUUUUUUGGCAUUACUUAGACUUCUGUAGUUCCUCUGUUAGUAGUUGCGUAUAACUUUUAGAAAAACCUUUCCUCAUAUCCAUACCUAUCCUAUGUGUAUAUACAUCCAUAAAUACAUACAAGUACCUAUAGACAUCUGUAACUUUAUAACAUGCACACACAAUGAGCCUCUGUAUGUUUCCAAGCCAUAAGCAGAUAAUGUGGAAAUUAUGGUGUAUGGGAACUGUUGAGUCACGGCCUGAACAACUGAAUCAGCCAUGGGAGCACUGGUGAAGGCAAUUCAGCCGUGUGACUUUAGGGGUGGAACCUGGCUGCACCUCUCCUAGACCCCAAUGGACUCAAUGGAGUCUUUCCUGCAAACCUACAUCUUCAGGUACAGUCUUAUGGUUCCCUUAGCAUGGAAAGGUGUUUGACUGGUAAUGCUGAGGUGAAUCGAAGAAUUGGAAGUCAAAGGAAGCUUUUGUCAGUAUUGUUGUGCUACAAAGACGACUGAAUUUUUGGAUAGUGAUAAUUACAGACAAGGUGGACAACAAAGCUGAUUCAGCAUAGUAGCCAGUGCUGCCUCCCUGGGGCUUGAGGGCUCAGACAUAGCAUCCUGUGACAGCAACUUCAAGCCUAUUACUACGCAUAAGGUGAGCAACAUGAGUUGAUCAUAUGCACGGUCCACAGCAACUGUGAGAUAAAUUACAUUAGUUUAAAUGCCAGUGAAGGAAGUCUAGCUGAUGUAUAUAAACUCAUUAAGCUAAUUCUAGAACUGUAGGAAAAAGUGAUGAUUUCAGUCAGCUGAAAUAGGAUGGGGAGUCCUCGCUGCAUGAGACAAAAGAGAACACCACACAUGGCUCCUUGGGCUAAGAGACAGUAGGGGGUGUCCUGCCUUUUAGAUGGGAAAAUAUGCAGUUUUUCCCCUCCAUAGCACCUCUGUUUAUCCAAAGCAAUAAACAUUGUAAGACUCAAGGGACUGGGCUGGCAUAGGAAAUUACACCUCAUGCUCCAGUUUCAUUCCUCACAGAAAAAGGUGUUUUCAAAUACAGUUGACAGAAAUAACUUCAGUCAAAUAAUAAGCUGUGAGAUGUGUUAUUCCAUGAAGAAUAAUCCAAGAAUGAUAUUCCAUGAAGAAUAAAGCCAUCCUCCUUCAAUCAGACCUUUCUUUUGCUGAAAGACUAGUUAGCUUGUUCAGUUUUGUUAUGUUUUAAACGGAUUACAGUACUUGGCAUUGAGAGCAGUACUAUUUUUCGAUUAGAAAAUUAGGAGAAGAAUAUUUCUAUUGUUUGCAGUAGCAAUUUUUAGUGAAGUUAAACCACUGUGUUAAUACAUAGACUUGCCUUAGAUAUUAAAAAUAAACAGUAUGUGCCCUCCAAGUGUCAAGCAUACUGCCAACAAAGACAUCUUCACUUUAUUCUGAAAUUUUAGCACACUACUAGCACUCCUAACCUCAGAGAGAGGGCCCGAGUGCUCUGAACUAAGUGCUUGCUCACCAUUUCAUUGAUGAUUUUGAAGGCUGUAGAGCUGGACAAGCAGUUUAGAAAAUAAAGUCUUUCUUCCUUUUUUUUUUCAAUUGACAAGUGUACUGAUAGCCAGUUCAAUUUGAUUUGACACAGAUGGCCAUCUCAGAUGGCAAUCAUUCACCAAAAUACAUGUCACCUUUGGUUAAUGACCUAGCCUCGUUAAUAAUCUUGCGAUGGCUUCUCCACAUUGUAUAUGACAUGUGGCUUUGAACUUCCUGCAAUAACCCUCUUACAUUUUUAAAUCCCAGACUGCAUAAUGCCUGGCUCCAAAGCAUCAUUUCUUCCUCAUAAGCAUGCACCAGCUGCCAAAUGAGCUUCCUGUGAUGCUCCCCUCAUCUUAGCCCUGGGGACUGGUAAGAAGGGACAUGUAAAAUUCCAUGGAAGGAGACCUCUGCCCUCUGUUUCUAUACAUUAUACUUUGUCAAGACAGAGCCUAAAGGGACUGGAGCCACUAGCCUGAGCUGCAGAGAUACUUCCCUGCAUGACUCUGCUGGGUAAGCAGAUCUCUUUGCAUUCAACCAUUUUUAAGAGAUCUUAAAAAGCCUUAAAUUUGUUUCCAUCAUUUGUUUGUUGAAGAAAUCAAAUAGACCAUAAACACAGUGACCAUAAAACUUCUCCAUCGCUAAUUACUUUUAAAAUGAAAAGACUGCUAUUCAGCCUCCCCUGUUUCAUCUGGUAGCUGCUGCAGCAGUGACUGAUCUGGCUAAUAGACGCUGUAGCCUGUUUUCUGCUACUGCCUAUUACAGUGUCACAGAGAGAGAAAAUAUAAACAUCAGGCAUGUGUCGAGUAAUUUUUCUCACAAAAGAACAUAUUAAUAUGAAGCAAUGAGAAGCUCUGGGACUUCCUAACCUGGAUGUGGCAUACCUUUCCCUCAGCUGAUGUUGUUUUGCCAUUGUGGAGAAAUGCCCUCUGGGAGAAGCCGCUAUGCGACUGCUAACACUUGGCAGUCGUUCCUCUAUGUGAGCAAUGGGGAAUCUCCAUCACUGUGCAGCCAUCUGAACCUCAUUUCUAUGAGAUCCCAGAGGUCUUUGCAAGGUUUGUUUAUUAUUAGCCUCAUUUAUCUCUCUCAUGACUGAUUCUGUAUAUAAGGAAAGUGUACCCUAUUAAAAAUUCAUGUGUUACUAUCUAGGACACAGAGUUGAGUGUGGGGUAACCCAUAUUUCAUCAUCAUACUAUUAAAUAACAAGAAUUAAUUUUACUUCACAUCAACUUGCUAGCAUGGCUGAACUAAAUUUUAACAUACGUCAAAGAGCUGACAUCUGUUAGAUUAAGAAUGUCAUAUCUGGAUUCAGGAUAUCUUACUAAAAAGAUCAGUGUUUGUUUCUGACAUCACAAAUCGUCUUCUUGUUCCUGCUAGUUGAACAUUUCCACUUUGCAGUGUCUUCUGUUAACUGCUGAUCACAACAUGGCAACCCAAAGCUGGUGGCAGUAGAUGACCAGGAAGUCCACCCUAUGUUACUGUAAUAUGUAUGAAUAUGCAUGAGGGAAAAUCCUUUGGAGGAGGUAGAAUAUUGCAUAUCUCAUGGAGGAGUACCUAUGAAAUGGAGUUGUAGGUUCAUCUGUGAGAAAAAUCCCUGUGGCUAAAGCUGUGACUUGGUGCCAUGUUGCCCCACAAAAUAGUACCAAACCAGGCACAUUCCCACCGUCGUGUACUCAUGUCCAGCUCAUUGCUUGUGCUGAAAAAACACUUUGGUAGACAGUUCUGUGCCACAGAUCAGAGUAGUGACAUUGCACCUUCAAAGCUGGCAUGCCAUCAACCCAAAGACCCUGUGUAACCACUCUGCCCACAAGGUGGGUGCCAAGAUUUGGCAAUGUGUUGUGCUGGUGUUGUCACCCCUGCCUGCCCUAGACCAACCCACAGUCCACAGUGCUCUGUUUUGCAGUGACAACCUUCAUUAACUUUCUGGCAAACAAGAAUGACCAGUGACAGAGUUUUUGAG